UCGCUGUUUUCAAAUUACAUUUCUUUACUCAUAGUUAACUGAAAUCUAUUCUCAAAAUAUCUUUGAGGCUAAAAGAUUGGUAAAUUAGAGAUCAUGUAAAUUUGAGAAUGUCUUCAUACAACUUUUGAAUAUGAAUAAAACUAUUUUACCUGGGUUUAAAAAAGAAGGGCAAGAGGUUGUUGGAACAAGAGGGCAAAAACAAAGCCCAUAGGAACAUAGAAGGUAAUGCUUUGAGAUCCUCAACUCAACAACUAGGUUUUAGAAACACUAAAAUAACUUCAUCCCUCCCAAGGCUCUUUUGCAAAAAUUCCAUUUUUCUUUACCAUAGUUUCUUUCUUCUUUUUCUAGCUUUCAAUUAAUUUUUUUAAAUUAAGGUAUCAUUGAUAUACAAUCUUAUGAAGGUUUCACAUGAGCAACAUUGUGGUUUCAACAUUCACCCAUAUUAAAAAGUACCCCCUCCAGACCCCAUUGCAAUCACUGUCCAUCAGCGUAAGAUGUUCUAACUUUCUAUAUAUAUAUUAUUAGAAUAGGGGAAAAUGAAUUCACGGUUGCAGAGGAUGAGAGUAGAUAUGAACUUCUGUUCAGCACUUACUCAGAUUUAACACUAAGUAAAAUGUUAGUAACAUUGCUUGCAUACCCUGUGACUUUCAUGUCCUAUUUCUCCUAUGAAACAUUUAUCACUUUUCAUUCUCCCAUAGUCUACUGAGCACAUUAUAAGUGCUUUUAAAAUUAAAUGAAUAUAAUGUCUAAGUUAAUUACUACUAACCAGGAACCCUACUUUAUUUCAACUCUAGAUGUUGAAAUAUGUCUAAUCCAUUGGUAAUAUUCUACUGAACUGAUUUUUUUCCCUUCUAUUACCAUAAGUCAGUCUGACCAAUUAUCAAGGAUGAAUUAACAUAAAGUAUAUAUCAGGAGAUAUACAACCUGGGUCCAAGUCUGAGUUCUGCGAUUUACUGUAUUCUUGGGCAAAUUAUUUGGUUUUCUGAGCCUCAGUUUCUUCAGUGAAAUGGGAAUAACAUAAAACUACCUCACAGAAUUAUUUUAAGGAUCAAAUUAUAUAAUAUAUGAAACAAUACUUUAUAAAAGUGCUUUGGUCGUUGCUAGAUAGAUUUAAGAAAACUUUUUAAGAGCCCAGUUCAAUCUUCCUAGAAAACUCUUUUAGGGGGAAGAAAAAUUACUGACAGGUUUAAUUGUCAUGUGUUUCUUUUCCUUAAAAAAAAAAAACACACAGAUAAAGAAAAUGGCUCAAGCUUACUCUAGCUAUACAAGUGGAUAAAACAAACUACUAAAUUACAGUAUUUUCUUCACUACUUACAAUGGAGAAACAGCUCAAAUGCCCAACAAGAAAGGCUAAGUAUAUUUAUUUACUUGAUAUAUAAUAUUGCUAUUUAGGUGAAAAAUAUGGAAACACACAAAACAUGGACACACUAUGCAGUAAGAGAAACAAUUUCAAGAUAGCAUUCAAUCACCUAGGACAACUAUGGAAGAAGCAUGAAUCUUUAUGCUGUAUUUGUUGCCAAUGUCCAACCAAAUAUACUAAUAGUCAUACUAAUUAUCCAAAGCAACAUAAGGAAAAGGAAUGUUUUUCAUUAUAUCAACUUCAAAAACUGCUGGAGUAAUCCUAAUGAAGCCUUUAGAGUUUCAUUAGUUUUCAUUGAAUUACAGUAUUUGCCUGGAGGAAAACCAAUGAGAAGAUAACUUCACUUAAUACAAAUAGAUUUCAUUGAGUAGAAACACGAAUAAAUAUUUAGUUUCACAAUAUAUAUAUAUACUUUAUUUGGUUUGUCUCCUAUAUAUUCAUAUAUUGUGUGUACACACACACCCAUUAUGAUUCAAUUAUAGUAUCCAAGAUCUCAGUGUAAGAAGAGCAAUAAAGUUUAAUACCAAGGACCUGUGCCAUUUAUUUUUAUUCACAUUCAAGAAUUUUCCAUUUUCAGAGUAGAACCGAAGAUAUGUUACAAUAUAUAGUGUGGGGGGUGGGGGAGCAAGGAGAGCAGUAUGAUGCAUAACUGCCUAAAAAAUUUAGCAAUUUAACAAUUCUUUUACCAACCUAUUAACUUUCGUUAUAACCCUUUUAGCAAAAGUUUAUCAAUGCAUCUAUAAACUCAAGUCUAGUCAGAUUUACAAGCCCAGCUCAGUAUUUAGAAAUAGUCAAGAAGCACUGCCUCAACUACCUAGAUAUCUUUAAAGAUUAACUUCAUAUAUCUCUUAUUUUUUAGCCAUUACAAUAGUUUAUAGAUGCUCUUGGGGGCAGGAGGGGGGGAGUAUCUGUAAAUGGUAUAUAAAGUUCCAUUCAGAUGUGUGCACUUUUAUUUUGACCCAGGGCCCACACCUUCUGUCAGAUUCUCAAUGGAUUUCAUGACCUUUAAGUAGGCUGAGAACUGCUACCACUUACCUCACAGGGUAUACUAGCCAAAUAUAACAGCAGUUAUUAUAUCCUAGUUGACAACUAAUUACUAAGUAAAAUAAGGCAUUCCUUCCACAGAAAUGAAGGCUCACAAGCUUUAUGGCUGCAUCCUUGGAAUAAAAGCAGGAGUCUGAAUUUAAUUGCCCUGUAAAAGACACGGCUUGUCAGUAUACAACCCACUCUGCAGUAUUAAAAAGGUUAACAUUUCUUACCAAAAAGCCAAGAUUCAUCUGAAACAACCUGGACAACCUACGGUUUCUUUUUUCAGUAGUCUUUUACACUCUCUAAUUUCUUCUGCAAUAAUUAAAAGUUAUAUAUAUUUUCUUUUCAUCUUUUCAUUACCUUAGUUACCAAGACACAUGAUGACCAAUGAAAUCAUCUACUUACCGAAGUCCCGGCAUUCAAUGCUUCAAAAUAAAACUCAUUUUGAGAUGUCAAAGAAAAUAGCAUUAACCAUCUAAAAAAAGGCAAAGUAAUCCUUUUCCUAAUUAAUCUACAAGAAGUAUAUGCCAUCAGCUAUUUAAAAUACUGGCAGAACUUAAACGCAUAACGUUUACCCAAAACCAAAUUGACUUGACUUUUAAAGGUAAGUGACAAAAAACACAAAAUCUCUAAGCUUGCUAUAGAAAGAAAAAGGUAAAAUUGUAACUUCAUAUUUAAGAUUCUUAAAUUUAACAUUCACAGGUUAAAAGCCAAAGUUAAAAUCACCUAAUGUCUAUUUAAAAUUCAAAUCAAGGCAAAACAUAAUCAAGGUUGUUCACUUUCAGCUUCCUUGGUAUUUCCUGCUUAGGGUAUCCGUUUUCUUCACAGAAACUUGAUCAGAAAAAAAACCUUUAAAAUGCUUUAUAAAUUAAAUUCCAAAUGUUCCUGCUAUGCGGACUAUUUCAUCUGAUUAUUUUAGGAAAAGACUAGCCUCAUUCAUAAAAGCUACGUCUGAAUCUAAAAGAGGAAAUGUUUCUACCACAGAACCUUAAAAAAAAAAGAGCUGAAAGUUGAUGAAAGAAUACUGCUGCCACGUCUUUUCCCCUCCCCCACUCACGUAGUGGCUACUUCAUCCCUUCAGAGUGCAUUCCAAGAGAAAGUCCAAAAGCCACAGCUCUCGGAGAAACCAGAAACAGUUAAGGUGAAAUUGGCAAACCUCUCUGGCCUCUCAGAUCAGUUCCAAAAAGGAGAUCUAGCUGCUUCUUCAUCCCUUUCUUAAAGCAAACAAUGCAAACUUCCAAGAGUCUUCACUCUUAUCCGGAACGCCUCAGAUGUUGAUGCGUGAACACUGACUUGUAUUUAAUUCAUUCAGUUAUUUGGAAGAAAUAGUCUCCUAACUUACGGGACCACUGUUUAAAUCAUACAUCUGGAGGCCCUUAUAUAACCCAUGGAAUUCAUUUGACUGAUGUGGACUUUUCAAAGCAGCGGACUCUGCUGAGAGAGACGGGGGAGGGCAAGAAGUGCAUGGGCCUUUAAAAAAUUUAAGUGGGAGAAGAGGGAAGGAAGAAGACUGAGCUUCCCAGAUGACUGGCUGAUCUGACAGCCGACUUCCUCAACCCAGCAGCCCGAAACUCGCCGCCCGCGGCUGCGUCUAGCUGCUUCAUCAGCGCGGCUGCGCGCAACAGAUGAGUAAAGCCCGAACUUCUUUGGGUAGGUCCGCUUCGCAGACCCGACGACUUUUCAACUGAGUAAAAAUGCCUGGAGUGUCCACGACUUCAGCUCUAAGCUUUAAAACCCGCUCUCCGUUGCCACAUGCUAACCAUCUGCUGCUGUGGGGGCUAAAACCCCCACGCCCGGCCCUCGCGUUCCCCUCGGCGUUACUGGGAGGACCAGUUACCAUGGAAGGCCAUAUCAAGAUGAAGCUUUCACCAGUCCAGGACUCUGAGUUCCUGCAAUGAACAGAGCCCCAGACUUUCCACUACCUUGACAGUCUCCACUGGAUAUGCAGCUUGAGUGAAAAACAAACUUUUAUUAUGUUAACUCAUUAAAACUUCGAGUUGUGUAACUGUAGCCUGACCAAGUCUAGCUUAACCUAUAUACUGUCCAAAGAAAGACUUAUCCUUUACAAAACCUAUUACCAAAAUUGUAUUAUAUUUGUACCUGAAAUGAA